UGCAUUAUGAAUAACUAUAUAAUGUAAUCUCCUGCCCAGUGAACUUUAAACGGCCGCGGUAUCCUAACCGUGCAAAGGUAGCAUAAUAACUUGCCCAUUAAUUGUGGGCUAGAAUGAACGGGGUAACGAAAUAAUAACUGUUUCAUUAUACAACAUAAAAAUUAAUUUUCAAGUGAAGAAGCUUGAAUGAUAUUAAAGGACAAGAAGACCCUAUAGAGCUUUACAUACAACUUAUUCCAUAUAAGCUUCAUGUUCGGUUGGGGCGACCUUGGAUAAAUCAUCCAAAAUUUAAAAGAUAGACUUAUCUAAUUUAGGAUCCUUAUAAAGAUCAAGGACUAAGUUACCUUAGGGAUAACAGGCUAAUCUUACUUUAGAGUUCAUAUCACCAGUAAGGAUUGGCACCUCGAUGUUGGCUUAGAAUAUCUUUGUGGCGCAAAAGUUACAAUUAGAUGGUUUGUUCAACCAUUAAACUUC
rnacentral:rRNA from 1 species